ACUGCGCUUCCAAAAAAAAAAACUGCAACGCUUCCCUUCUUCCUCCACGAUCUCAUUAUGUCCACUUCUCAAUUCUUCAACAAUAAAACAUGGAUGAUUUCAUACAAAAAAGCUCUCAUCUCUUCUAUUUAUGAUUCAUGUUUCUUCUUGCCUUGAUCAGGAACACCAUUGAAAGGAGAAGGUUCUGGCAAAUUGAUUGAUGAAAUGAUUGUCAGAAGACAAGAAGAACAACAACAUCAACAAGAAUAAGACGACGCUUUACAUUCGUCAGCUAUGGAAGAAAUUUUGCUCUGAAAUAACGACGGAGAUUGGUCUUCUUGCUGAGAACUUGAGAUAUCUUCUGGCUGGUCCUAUCCGUCAGUGUGCGGCUAAUUCCAGAGUAAAAAGGCAUGCCUAAUUCUCCAAGGUUUGUUUUUAUGAAUAAAUUUUAACAGUUUUCAUAUCACUUUCUUUGACUUGCAUGUCUCUCAAGAUUAAUUCUUUGCCCACAAAAGAGAAACAAUAUGAAUGGCAAAAUUCCAGAGGUGUUUACAAUAGUUCUCAUGCUUUAACUUAUGUUUUUUUCUCUAAUUACUUCAAGUUUCAUUAAUAGUUCAGUUGUAAUGAGCCAAUUUUCUUUUAAAAGGAACUAAUCAACGUUUGUUCCAUUGCUUGAUAGGAUUCCAAGCAAAUCUCAAAAAAAAACUUUGGAAGAGAAACAUAUUAAAAAGAAAACUAAUCAAAUCUUGGAAGAAGCAUGUGUUAUCUAGAAAAGCACAAAGAGAAAAGGUGAAAAAAUAGAGUAAGCCUUCACCUAAUUUACAUACGACGAGAUAUACAGGAGGCCACCAAAAUUUGUUGAAUUGGUGGAUAACUGUAUAUUGUUUUUUUUUUUAAUAUAAUGUUAUUUUGUUGUUGUUAAAAGUCCUCUUUAUCCUUUUAUUUUGAGCUUAAUAAACUUUCAAAUACAAUGUUCGAUUGUAUAGGUCUAUCCAUUUAAUAUAUAUAUA